rnacentral:rRNA from 1 species
GAUGAACGCUGGCGGCGUGCCUAAUACAUGCAAGUCGAGCGAACAGACGAGGAGCUUGCUCCUCUGACGUUAGCGGCGGACGGGUGAGUAACACGUGGAUAACCUACCUAUAAGACUGGGAUAACUUCGGGAAACCGGAGCUAAUACCGGAUAAUAUAUUGAACCGCAUGGUUCAAUAGUGAAAGACGGUUUUGCUGUCACUUAUAGAUGGAUCCGCGCCGCAUUAGCUAGUUGGUAAGGUAACGGCUUACCAAGGCGACGAUGCGUAGCCGACCUGAGAGGGGCAUCGGCCACACUGGAACUGAGACACGGUCCAGACUCCUACGGGAGGCAGCAGUAGGGAAUCUUCCGCAAUGGGCGAAAGCCUGACGGAGCAACGCCGCGUGAGUGAUGAAGGUCUUCGGAUCGUAAAACUCUGUUAUUAGGGAAGAACAAAUGUGUAAGUAACUAUGCACGUCUUGACGGUACCUAAUCAGAAAGCCACGGCUAACUACGUG